UUGCUUCCACAGCAUAUAUACUAAAAUUGGAACUAUUCAUAGAAGAUUAGAAUGGCCCCUGUGCAAAGAUGCCAUGCAAAUUCAUGAAGUGUUCCAUAUUUUU